AUAUAUUCCGCAGUACAUAUUCUGAAGCUAGAACGGUACAGAGAUGAUUUGUAUAUCUUCUGCGCAAGGACGACACGCAAAUUCGUAAAGUAUUCUUUUAUUUU